rnacentral:rRNA from 1 species
UUAGAGUUUGAUCCUGGCUCAGGAUGAACGCUAGCUACAGGCUUAACACAUGCAAGUCGAGGGGCAGCGGGGUGCAGCAAUGCACUGCCGGCGACCGGCGCACGGGUGAGUAACGCGUAUCCGACCUGGCCUUCACUCCGGGAUAGCCCCUCGAAAGAGGGAUUAAUACCAGAUAUGUGGAAGGGUUACAUGGCACUUCCACGAAAGAUUCAUCGGUGAAGGAUGGGGAUGCGUCCCAUUAGCUUGUUGGCGGGGUAACGGCCCACCAAGGCGACGAUGGGUAGGGGUACUGAGAGGUAGGUCCCCCACAUUGGAACUGAGACACGGUCCAAACUCCUACGGGAGGCAGCAGUGAGGAAUAUUGGUCAAUGGGCGAGAGCCUGAACCAGCCAAGUAGCGUGAAGGAUGACUGUCCUAUGGAUUGUAAACUUCUUUUCCGGGAGGGUAAAGUGAGCGACGUGUCGUUCAUUGCAAGUAUCCCGGGAAUAAGCAUCGGCUAACUCCGUGCCAGCAGCCGCGGUAAUACGGAGGAUGCGAGCGUUAUCCGGAUUUAUUGGGUUUAAAGGGAGCGUAGGCGGACGAUUAAGUCAGUGGUAAAAUCGUGUGGCUCAACCAUACCUCGCCAUUGAUACUGGUUGUCUUGAGUGCACAAGAGGUGGAUGGAAUUCAAGGUGUAGCGGUGAAAUGCGUAGAUAUUGGGAGGAACACCAGUGGCGAAGGCGCCUUUCUGGACUGUGUCUGACGCUGAGAUGCGAAAAGCCAGGGGUAGCGAACGGGAUUAGAUACCCCGGUAGUCCUGGCCGUAAACGAUGGGUACUAGGUGUAGGAGGUAUCGACCCCUUCUGUGCCGGAGUUAACGCAAUAAGUACCCCGCCUGGGGAGUACGGCCGCAAGGUUGAAACUCAAAGGAAUUGACGGGGGCCCGCACAAGCGGAGGAACAUGUGGUUUAAUUCGAUGAUACGCGAGGAACCUUACCCGGGCUUGAAUUGCAGGAGAACGAUCCAGAGAUGGUGAGGCCCUUCGGGGCUCCUGUGAAGGUGCUGCAUGGUUGUCGUCAGCUCGUGCCGUGAGGUGUCGGCUUAAGUGCCAUAACGAGCGCAACCCCUCUCCUUAGUUGCCAUCAGGUCAAGCUGGGCACUCUGGGGACACUGCCACCGUAAGGUGUGAGGAAGGUGGGGAUGACGUCAAAUCAGCACGGCCCUUACGUCCGGGGCUACACACGUGUUACAAUGGGGGGUACAGAAGGCAGCGACCUGGCGACAGGGAGCGAAUCCCAAAAACCCUUCUCAGUUCGGAUCGGAGUCUGCAACCCGACUCCGUGAAGCUGGAUUCGCUAGUAAUCGCGCAUCAGCCAUGGCGCGGUGAAUACGUUCCCGGGCCUUGCACACACCGCCCGUCAAG